GGUCAAUGAUGUGAUGAUGUAAAAGGUCUGAUGCCCAGUUCCACUACCUGCUAUCCAUUGGCUCCUAACAGCCCCUGCUCUCCUCCCAGCCUGCUCUAGUUGUGCAUCGUUGGACACAGGGGCUGCUGACAUUGAGGAUGAGGUCAUAUCCUGUGUCUUUAAGAGACCAUGGAGUCACUGUGACAGACGUCCAACAGAACCAAUCACUAAGGAGUAUCAGGCUGUGGUAUGGGGCUGGGCCGCUGAUCUCAACUUUCAAACUGAGACC
ensembl:scaRNA